rnacentral:rRNA from 1 species
AAUUCGAUUAGAGUUUGAUCAUGGCUCAGAUUGAACGCUGGCGGCAUGCCUUACACAUGCAAGUCGAACGGCAGCAUGAUCUAGCUUGCUAGAUUGAUGGCGAGUGGCGAACGGGUGAGUAAUACAUCGGAACGUGCCCUGUAGUGGGGGAUAACUAGUCGAAAGAUUAGCUAAUACCGCAUACGACCUGAGGGUGAAAGUGGGGGACCGCAAGGCCUCAUGCUAUAGGAGCGGCCGAUGUCUGAUUAGCUAGUUGGUGAGGUAAAGGCUCACCAAGGCGACGAUCAGUAGCUGGUCUGAGAGGACGAUCAGCCACACUGGGACUGAGACACGGCCCAGACUCCUACGGGAGGCAGCAGUGGGGAAUUUUGGACAAUGGGGGCAACCCUGAUCCAGCAAUGCCGCGUGUGUGAAGAAGGCCUUCGGGUUGUAAAGCACUUUUGUCCGGAAAGAAAUCGCACUUACUAAUAUUAGGUGUGGAUGACGGUACCGGAAGAAUAAGGACCGGCUAACUACGUGCCAGCAGCCGCGGUAAUACGUAGGGUCCAAGCGUUAAUCGGAAUUACUGGGCGUAAAGCGUGCGCAGGCGGUUGUGCAAGACCGAUGUGAAAUCCCCGGGCUUAACCUGGGAAUUGCAUUGGUGACUGCACGGCUAGAGUGUGUCAGAGGGGGGUAGAAUUCCACGUGUAGCAGUGAAAUGCGUAGAGAUGUGGAGGAAUACCGAUGGCGAAGGCAGCCCCCUGGGAUAACACUGACGCUCAUGCACGAAAGCGUGGGGAGCAAACAGGAUAAGAUACCCUGGUAGUCCACGCCCUAAACGAUGUCAACUAGUUGUUGGGGAUUCAUUUCCUUAGUAACGUAGCUAACGCGUGAAGUUGACCGCCUGGGGAGUACGGUCGCAAGAUUAAAACUCAAAGAAAUUGACGGGGACCCGCACAAGCGGUGGAUGAUGUGGAUUAAUUCGAUGCAACGCGAAAAACCUUACCUACCCUUGACAUGCCACUAACGAAGCAGAGAUGCAUUAGGUGCUCGAAAGAGAAAAUGGACACAGGUGCUGCAUGGCUGUCGUCAGCUCGUGUCGUGAGAUGUUGGGUUAAGUCCCGCAACGAGCGCAACCCUUGUCUCUAGUUGCUACGAAAGGGCACUCUAGAGAGACUGCCGGUGACAAACCGGAGGAAGGUGGGGAUGACGUCAAGUCCUCAUGGCCCUUAUGGGUAGGGCUUCACACGUCAUACAAUGGUGCAUACAGAGGGUUGCCAAGCCGCGAGGUGGAGCUAAUCCCAGAAAAUGCAUCGUAGUCCGGAUCGUAGUCUGCAACUCGACUACGUGAAGCUGGAAUCGCUAGUAAUCGCGGAUCAGCAUGCCGCGGUGAAUACGUUCCCGGGUCUGUAGACA